CCUACGGGAGGCAGCAGUGAGGAAUAUUGGUCAAUGGACGAGAGUCUGAACCAGCCAAGUAGCGUGAAUGAUGACUGCCCUAUGGGUUUUAAACUUCUUUUAUAUGGGAGUAGAUUGUUCCACGUGUGCGCACUUGUAUGUACCAUAUGAAUAAGGAUCGGCUCACUCCGUGCCAGCAGCCGCGGUGAUACGGUGGAGCCGAGCGUUAUCCGGAUUUGUUGGGUUUAAAGGGAGCGUAGGUGGAUUGUUAAGUCAGAUGUGAAAGUAUGCGGCUCAACCUUGAAAAUGCAGUUGAAACUGGCAGUCUUGAGGACAGUAGAGGUGGGCGGAAUUCGUGGUGUAGCGGUGAAAUGCGUAGAGAUCACGAAGAACUCCGAUUGCGAAGGCAGCUCACUGGACGGCAACUGACACGGAGGCUCGAAAGUGUGGGUAUCAAACAGGAUUAGAUACCCGGGUAGUC
rnacentral:rRNA from 1 species